rnacentral:rRNA from 1 species
CCUACGGGAGGCUGCAGUGAGGAAUAUUGGUCAAUGGCCGCAGGGCUGAACCAGCCAAGUCGCGUGAGGGAUGACGGUCCUAUGGAUUGUAAACCUCUUUUGUCAGGGAGCAAAGGGCGCCACGUGUGGCGCUUUGCGAGUACCUGAAGAAAAAGCAUCGGCUAACUCCGUGCCAGCAGCCGCGGUAAUACGGAGGAUGCGAGCGUUAUCCGGAUUUAUUGGGUUUAAAGGGUGCGCAGGCGGAAUGUCAAGUCAGCGGUAAAAUUUCGGGGCUCAACCCCGUCGUGCCGUUGAAACUGGCGUUCUUGAGUGAGCGAGAGGUAUGCGGAAUGCGUGGUGUAGCGGUGAAAUGCAUAGAUAUCACGCAGAACUCCGAUUGCGAAGGCAGCAUACCGGCGCUCAACUGACGCUCAUGCACGAAAGCGUGGGUAUCGAACAGGAUUAGAUACCCCUGUAGUC